CCAGACUCCUACGGGAGGCAGCAGUAGGGAAUCUUCCGCAAUGGGCGAAAGCCUGACGGAGCAACGCCGCGUGAGUGAAGAAGGAUUUCGGUUCGUAAAGCUCUGUUGUUAGGGAAGAAUGGAUAUGUAGUAACUAUACAUAUAAGAGACGGUACCUAACCAGAAAGCCACGGCUAACUACGUGCCAGCAGCCGCGGUAAUACGUAGGUGGCAAGCGUUGUCCGGAAUUAUUGGGCGUAAAGCGCGCGCAGGUGGUUUAAUAAGUCUGAUGUGAAAGCCCACGGCUCAACCGUGGAGGGUCAUUGGAAACUGUUAAACUUGAGUGCAGGAGAGAAAAGUGGAAUUCCUAGUGUAGCGGUGAAAUGCGUAGAGAUUAGGAGGAACACCAGUGGCGAAGGCGACUUUCUGGGCAACAACUGACGCUGAGGCACGAAAGUGUGGGGAGCAAACAGGAUUAGAUACCCUGGUAGUCCACACCGUAACGAUGGAUACUAGGAGUUGGCAAAAAUAUUGUCGGUUCCGCAGUUAACGCAUUAAGUAUCCCACCUGGGGGAGUACGACCGCAAGGUUAAAACUCAAAGGAAUUGCGGGGGCCCCGCACAAG
rnacentral:rRNA from 1 species